rnacentral:rRNA from 1 species
GACGAACGCUGGCGGCGUGCUUAACACAUGCAAGUCGAACGGAAAGGCCCUGCUUUUGUGGGGUGCUCGAGUGGCGAACGGGUGAGUAACACGUGAGUAACCUGCCCUUGACUUUGGGGUAACUUCAGGAAACUGGGGCUAAUACCGGAUAGGAGCUCCUGCUCCAUGGUGGGGGUUGGAAAGUUUCGGCGUUUGUGGAUGGACUCGCUGCUUAUCAGCUUGUUUGUGGAGUAGUUGAUUACCAAGGUUUUGACGGGUAGCCGGCCUGAGAGGGUGACCGGCGACAUUGGGACUGAGAUACGGCGCAGUAUCGUACGGGAGGCAGUGGUGGGGAACAUUGCACAAUGGGCGGAAGCCUGAUGCAGAAGCGCCGCGUGCGGGAUGCCGGCCUUCGGGUUGUAAACCGCUUUCGACUGUGACGAAGCGUGAGUGACGGUAACGGGUAAAGAAGCACCGGCUAACUACGUG